GACGAACGCUGGCGGCGUGCUUAACACAUGCAAGUCGAACGGAAAGGCCCUGCUUUUGUGGGGUGCUCGAGUGGCGAACGGGUGAGUAACACGUGAGUAACCUGCCCUUGACUUUGGGAUAACUUCAGGAAACUGGGGCUAAUACCGGAUAGGAGCUCCUGCUGCAUGGUGGGGGUUGGAAAGUUUCGGCGGUUGGGGAUGGACUCGCGGCUUAUCAGCUUGUUGGUGGGGUAGUGGCUUACCAAGGCUUUGACGGGUAGCCGGCCUGAGAGGGUGACCGGCGAUGGAUGGACUGAGGCGCGACAAGGGCAGGUAGGGGAGGGAGAGGGGGGGAGUGGGGAGCAGAGGGGGGAAGGUGGGGGCAGCGGGGCGGGUUGGGGGGUGAGGCGCGGCGGGUGGGAAGACGGUCGCGGGUGCGAAGAAGCGGGAGAGGCGGGAAUGGGAAAAGAGGAACGAGAUAAGAACGGCGGAGCAGCAGCGGAAAAAAAGACGAGGACUCGCGAGCUC
rnacentral:rRNA from 1 species